ACGCCGAUGAGGAAGAAUUCCUUAAGUAUAGGAAGUGCCGUAUGACACUCUUAAACAGCAGCAGUUGCACGGCGGCGUUACCCCUCCCAUUAAAUGCUGUCAUUUUUGGAUUUUUUCCAAUUCUGCUCACUGGUCGGGACUUUGUGUUCUACACCACGCUUCUCUCUGUGUGUGAUUUGGAACGGGUCUCUGAGGUUU
rnacentral:snoRNA from 1 species